AGAUGACGAGGUUGAUAGGCUGGGUGUGUAAGCGCAGUGAUGCGUUGAGCUAACCAGUACUAAUAGCCCGUGAGGCUUGACCAU
rnacentral:rRNA from 1 species